rnacentral:rRNA from 1 species
UGGGGAAUAUUGCACAAUGGGCGCAAGCCUGAUGCAGCGACGCCGCGUGAGGGAUGGAGGCCUUCGGGUUGUAAACCUCUUUCGCCAGUGAAGCAGGCCAUCUUCUUUGUGGGGUGGUUGACGGUAGCUGGAUAAGAAGCGCCGGCUAACUACGUGCCAGCAGCCGCGGUAAUACGUAGGGCGCGAGCGUUGUCCGGAAUUAUUGGGCGUAAAGAGCUCGUAGGCGGCUGGUCGCGUCUGUCGUGAAAUCCCCUGGCUUAACUGGGGGCUUGCGGUGGGUACGGGCCGGCUUGAGUGCGGUAGGGGAGACUGGAAUUCCUGGUGUAGCGGUGGAAUGCGCAGAUAUCAGGAGGAACACCGGUGGCGAAGGCGGGUCUCUGGGCCGUUACUGACGCUGAGGAGCGAAAGCGUGGGAAGCGAACAGG